rnacentral:rRNA from 1 species
AUGCAUAAGUGUCAUCAUACAAUGAGUCGAUGUUGCGAAGGUCGUCUUCUCCUACGGCGAGUGCCGCCCUGCUCCGUGGCAUGCUACAAGUCGGUAUUGCAUGCCAUGUUGCGGGAGUGUUGCCGGUGCUAUGGGACCAUUGCUAAUGGUGUAAGCCAUUGCUACCUAGGGCACUGUCGUGCUGAAGGGGUGUUGUCUGCGAUGCAAGCCGCUAUUGUGAGGGUCAACGUCAUGCUGCAAGUUGAUGCUACAUGUGGCGCUGCCAUGCUGCAAAAGUGUCAUUGGUGUUGCAACAUCAUCAAAGCAUCAAGGACCAUUGUGGCAUUGCCACGGUCGAUGACGCAUGCUAAGCACAUCGCAUCGUUCGAAGAACGCCGUCGGGACAUCGCCACGGUCGUCGAAGCACGUCGUCACAACAUCAUCGGAGCACCAAGGUUGCCAUUGUAG